UCAAGAUAAACUUCUUGAAUAGAAAAUCUGAAAAUUAUGCUCGAAAUUAAACUAUUGAGCAAGUUACCUCGCAAAACACCAUGUUGCGAGUUAAUAAUAAUUGCACAUGUAACCAUCUCAUAAAUGCAUCUUAUAUGGUACAUGGCAGGUGAAUGGGCCCAUAUUUACCUUUGAUAUUUCCAGAAUUUAUGGGAUUCAAUCCCAACUUUAGUUGGUCAAUUAAUUAAUGAGAAUAAGCAAUAUAAGAGAAUCGUAAAGAACUUUCUAGUUCUUUAAUAUUUACCCAUGUGAGUUCUCUAUUAUUUUUGCACAUCAUACUUAAAUUGAUAUGGCUAAACCAGCUAUGCCAACUGGAUAUCAAUAAACUCCAAAUUUAUUAUGAUGUGGGUUUUAUAUCAAUAAAGUUCUACGUUAUUGUGGUAUUCUUUUAUUUGUGUAGUAUAAAAUGAUAUAAACAUCAGCUGCACGUAACUUUUUUCACCUCACUUGCCUCAAACCUUAUUCAGAUUGAGGACAGAGAGGAAAAACCAUCAAACAAUCCAAACUCCAGAAACAAGUUCGAAAGUUGAAGCCAAAAUGAAGCAGAAGAGCAAAGAAGGGAUCGAAGCUUAUUCCAGUGAUAGCAACAAGCAAAGGAGCCAAUUAUACAGACAAGGACAAGGACAAGAAGAGCUAGACCAAGAGGAAAAGCUAUGGUGGGCCGUGAAGAAGUAAUUCCCAAGGCACUAUUUUUACCCAUAAUAUAUAACAGGAGUAGUUCAGAAUUCAGCAAGCAAGCAAUUAGUAGUAGAGUUUAAGAUCAAAAUUUGCAGCGAGGGGAUCGAGGAAAUAGGAAUCUUUCUUUAGCUAGAAAGAUUAAAUUGUAAAGUAGACUUGUUUCCUUUCCACUUAUAAUAUAUUGGUGUAAUGGAAAAAGACUAGAGGGAAAUGAAAAGUACAUUCAACCGUA